UACAGAGGUCCCGAGCGUUGUUCGGAUUCACUGGGCGUAAAGGGUGCGUAGGUGGUGAGGUAAGUCGGAUGUGAAAUCUCCGGGCUCAACCCGGAAAUGGCAUUGGAAACUACCUUGCUAGAGGAUUUGAGGGGGGAUUGGAAUACUUGGUGUAGCAGUGAAAUGCGUAGAUAUCAAGUGGAACACCAGUGGCGAAGGCGAAUCCCUGGAAAAUACCUGACACUGAGGCACGAAAGCUAGGGGAGCAGACAGG
rnacentral:rRNA from 1 species